AUAUAAGUGCACACUGCUCUCAGGAGUAGUGGGGCUAAUUAGAGGGACUGCCGUCGCUGAGACGGAGGAAGGAGGGGGCUACGGCAGGUCAGUAUGCCCCGAAACCCUCGGGCCACACGCGGGCUGCAAUGGUAAGGACAAUAAGUUCCUAUUCCGAAAGGAGGAGGUAAUCUCCAAACCUUACCUCAGUUAUGAUUGAGGGCUGAAACUCGCCCUCAUGAAUAUGGAAUCCCUAGUAACCGCGUGUCACAAUCGCGCGGUGAAUACGUCCCUGCUCCUUGCACAAAA
rnacentral:rRNA from 1 species